UACGAAGGGGGCUAGCGUUGCUCGGAAUUACUGGGCGUAAAGCGCACGUAGGCGGAUUGUUAAGUCGGGGGUGAAAUCCUGGAGCUCAACUCCAGAACUGCCUUUGAUACUGGUGAGCUUGAGUCCGGAAGAGGUGAGUGGAACUGCGAGUGUAGAGGUGAAAUUCGUAGAUAUUCGCAAGAACACCAGUGGCGAAGGCGGCUCACUGGUCCGGUACUGACGCUGAGGUGCGAAAGCGUGGGGAGCAAACAGG
rnacentral:rRNA from 1 species